GUCUCAGUGGAGUAGUGGUUAGCGCACAAGCCGCGGUUAAGCGCGAGACGCGGGUUCGAAUCCCGUCUGAGAUA
rnacentral:tRNA from 1 species